GUGACAGUCUACUUUUAGUCCAUUUUUUUAGAACAUCCACUUUUAGUCAUAAUAUUAUUGUGGCAUGACCAUUUUUUGUUUUUUCUUAAUAAAACGGUU